GUGCUCAGUUCCGCAGCACAUAUACUAAAAUUGGAACAAUACAGAGGAGAUUAGCAUGGCCCUUGUGCAAGGAUGAUACCCAAAUUCGUGAAUCAUUCAGUUUUGUU